AUCCAGCUGACGAGUCCCAAAUAGGACGAAAUGCAUCCUGGAU
rnacentral:hammerhead_ribozyme from 1 species